GAAGCUCGCCAGACCGUCGCUGGCACAGGACCCGAAAGGGUGUGCUGGAGGAACGUCCGGACUGCACAGGGCAGCGUAGGAGGUAACACCUCUCCACCGACCAGCCGCAAGGCCCUAAGGUGAGGAUCAGAGCAACAGAGACGAGCCGAUUCAGUUCGGGUGAAACGGGCAAUCUCUACGCGCAGCAAUGCCAAAUAGGCCAGCGUUGAUGUGGCUCCGCGGAGCUGGCGGGUAGGCAGCACCGAGCCGGGCGGGCGACCCCCGGCCCAGAGGAAUGGCGGUCACGUGCGGGGCAACCCGCACGCACAGAAUCCGGCGUAUCGGCGGGCUUCACAC
rnacentral:RNase_P_RNA from 1 species